UGUUGUUACAGGCAGAAAUACACUGUAUACACUCGAUUACUGAUACUUUGUAUUAAGCGUAUCUUAAGUACGCCAGCCGAGUGGAAAAGCAGCUUUUUAUAGCUGUUUUUUUAUGUAUAAA
rnacentral:sRNA from 12 species